rnacentral:misc_RNA from 1 species
GAAAUGCGAUAAGUAAUGUGAAUUGCAGAAUUCAGUGAAUCAUCGAAUCUUUGAACGCACCUUGCGCUCCUUGGUAUUCCUUGGAGCAUGCCUGUUUGAGUAUCAUGAAAUCUUCAAAGUAAAUCUUUUGUUAACUCAAUUGGUUUCUACUUUGGUAUUGGAGGUCUUUGCAGCUUCACACCUGCUCCUCUUUGUUCAUUAGCUGGAUCUCAGUGUUAUGCUUGGUUCCACUCGGCGUGAUAAGUUACCUAUCGCUGAGGACACUGUAAAAGGUGGCCAAGGUAAAUGCAGAUGAUCCGCUUCUAAUAGUCCAUUGACUUGGACAAUACUUUUAUGAUCUGAUCUCAAAUCAGGUAGGACUACCCGCUGAACUUAAGC